AUCCACCGACACGUUGAACGCAUAUUGCACAUCGUACCUCCAGUACGAUGUACACAUUUUUGAGUGCCUAU
rnacentral:rRNA from 1 species